ACAGCAGCAGCCGCGGUAAAACGUAGGUCCCGAGCGUUGUCCGGAUUUAUUGGGCGUAAAGGGAGCGCAGGCGGUUUAGUAAGUCUGAAGUUAAAGGCAUUGGCUCAACCAAUGUAUGCUUUGGAAACUGUUUAACUUGAGUGCAGAAGGGGAGAGUGGAAUUCCAUGUGUAGCGGUGAAAUGCGUAGAUAUAUGGAGGAACACCGGUGGCGAAGGCGACUUUCUGGACGAAAACUGACGCUGAGGCGCGAAAGCCAGGGGAGCGAACGGGAUUAGAUACCCCAGUAGUCCCUGUCUCUUAUACA
rnacentral:rRNA from 1 species